rnacentral:lncRNA from 1 species
AUUCCUGCAGCCUUUAAAUGAACAAAACAAACAGCACAAGCUACACUGCGAAGAUGAGUCUGCACUGCAUGUAUUUCUUUCUACACCCAGGAACCUGGCUUACCAGUAUAUCACCCCAGCGUUGACAUACUGGUUUGAGUUUCCUGCCUGAUGAUCAGAGCCAGAAGCACAGGUCUCCAGGAAAUGCCACCACUGGAUAGAGAGCCACACGCUGCUUCCUAUCAUACGUCUACCUGGACCUAACUCAGGAAGAAACAUACACUUCCUACAUUUUAUCCCAUAAGCAAAGCAACUUCUGUAGAACUGCCCAUGGAGAUUUUGUCUUAACUUCAAAAAGUGCUUCUCCUAAUUUAUUUUCUGUUGCACGGUAUCAAGAAGCACCUGUGGAAAAAAAGGAUUCAAAAGAAGAAAACCAUAACCAUCUUACAAGUUUUUGCAUUGCUGAAGACUGACGACUUCACCCAGACCCACCAACUGGUCCUGGGACCCCCACCCAGGAACCCAUUCAGUGCAGGAGGACAGCUUCAGCUCCCUGUGUCUUCACGUGUGACCCAAUUGAUCAGCACUUCCCUCUUCCUGGCCCCCUACUGACCAAACUAUCCUUUAAAAACCCUAGUCACUGAGUUUCCAGGGAGACUAAUUUGACUAAUAAUAAAACUGGUCUCCCAUUCA